AGACACACACUUUGAAUCUCAAUGUGCUGAAACUUUGUCAUACAUUUUAGACCAAAUGACGCCACACACAUAUCUGACAUACACUGUAGCUUUAAACUCGAUGGAGUUUUUGGUCAAAAUCGGGCUGUUUUUGAACUUUCUGCUGAUUAUUACAGCUGACACCAUCGUUCAUUGUCUGUACAACAGCAGCUGCCUCUUACCAUCCAACUACAAACAAGGAGAUGCAACAAACAUCUGCUGGAUGUACAAAAAAGCGGCCAUUGUCCACUCUUCUUUUUCUGAGAACAGAAACAUGUCUCUCCGCCAAGACCUUAGUUUUAAGGGUCGGACUUCACUGGUGGAGGAUCAGGUCACUGGAAGGAAGACGGAGCUCCUGUUGGAGAAUGCGAAGGUUGAGGAUGAAGGACCGUUCCAGUUUGUAAUUGGCUGUAGAAACGAUGGAUACCAGUCCACUAAUGUUGUGCAGGUGAACGCUCCAGUCCAAAGGGUGGACAUUAUAAGAGCAGGAAACAUUUUCACCUGCAGCUCAGAGGGAGUCUACCCUAAACCGGAGCUCACCUGGUCUGCCAACCCUAAAUUCAAAGUGAACCCUCAGCCCAACACCACAGUCCAGCAGACUGAGGGGAAACUCUACAACAUCUCCAGCUCUUUGAAGCUCCCUGACGUGGAUGAAGAUCUGCUUGUCAGCUGCACCGUCAGCACUCGGCUCAACGAGUGGACGUCCACUUGGAGGAAACCCAUUGUAACCAACGGCUGGGCUGAGAUCUCCUGCUCCCACAUGAACACCUCCUCAGGGGGCUUCAGCCUUGUUUGGAGGUUUAACGACACAGACAUCAUGACGUGGAACAGGACUGAUGGGCAACACGUCUCAGCUCAGUGGAAGAAGCAUGUUCUGGCUGAGAUGGGGUCAGAUGUUCUCCAUCUACGGAAUUUGUCUUCAGAUCUGUGUGGAACGUACCGCUGUGAGCUCAGCAGUGCUAAUGAGACCAGAGCUACUCACACACAGCUCACCCUGAACACAGGUGGCUCAAAGAUUGUUGUUGGUGGUGUGAUUGGAAUCAUUAUCAUUGUGAUUCUGGUCAUCGCUAUAGCAGUAUUCGUGUACCUCGUUUAUCAUUACAGAUGCCAAAGGAAGAAUGUGAGAGAAGCAAAUUCACACGAGAUGGAGCCGAUGAAGCACAGAUUGGCAUGACAUGAAAAAAGUACCAGUACUUCAGACAAUCAGACGACAUCAGGUGUUCUCACUUCAUCUGGCUUUGGACCAUACAUUUUGAGUUGUGUAACAAUCAAAUGUAACAGACUGGUCCAUUGUAUCAUCUCCUCCCUGUUAUAACCAGUGGGCGGGCACUGUUGCUGUUCCCACUCAAUGUUCUUGAAGCCAAAAUACAGCGCUUAGGGCGCUUCCAUCUUGCAAAUUUGACGUCAUUUGGAGCCAGAGUCUGCGCAGUAGUACACAACAUCUUGUUCAGAUGAUCAGAUCAUAGUGGUUAGUACUGGUACUAGUAGCUCAAAGAAGAUGAAAAAACUGAAUGGAAAAGUUUAAUGGUGUCUUGGCUUUCCUUCACAACGUAACUGCUUAUGCUGUUCACAAACAGAGCUACGCAAGAUCUGCGGCUGUCAAUCAUAUGAUGUCAAAUCCCAUUUUUCAGUUUCAAAUCUUGUAACUUAUUUAAAACAAACUUAACAGAAAAAUGAGCACUUGAACACAGUGUAGGGGGAUAACAGCAGAGUUUAAUGUGACAAGUAUUUUAACUUUACAGUUUGACCCACAUCCCAUUCAUUAACAUUGAGUUUAACUGAUUUAUGGUUACAGUUUAUGGUUGAAACCAUAGACUGUAAAAAGAAUGGACAACGCACGCUCACGUGGAAGUGAAGCUUUUAUUUUUAGAGCUCCCCCUGCUGACUGGCUGCAGUAUAGGUCAUAAACUCCGCCUCUUCAAUGUUAGCGCUGCUCUCAACCCCUCCCUGAAAAAGAAGUUGAUGACACGGGUGAAUGUAACACAUUUUGUCCCAUCGAGAACUGGUAAAUGUGAACAUGUGAGAAAUGCUGAUGGUCAAUCCUUUGGCGUGCUUGUGUGACUCCGCCCCACCCCCGUGACAGCGUGACAGUGUCAGUUUGGAUAGAUUCUUUCCGGGAGUCUGUUCUGCAAUAUUAUGAGUCCGUGUGGCUUUAAUUGUAUCAAGUCCAUAUUUCUAGUGCCAUAUAAUGUUUCACCUUAUCGGGGCGCUGCAUUUGUUCCAGGUUCAGAAGCGCAUAAGAUGAAAAUAACUUAAACACACGGGAGAAUAUUUGAUUGGGAACGCCUACAUUUCAGGGCCGUUCCACCCAGAGUGCGUAACUGGGAUGUAGGCGGGAAGUGACUGACUUAAGUAAGGGGAAGAAUAGCGCGCAGCCAAAAAAUCAGUUGCGCGGCUUUUUUUUACUUGCGCGUACGGGAGAAUAGAGCCCUUUGUGAAUCGUGAAGGAAAGCCGAGACACCAUUUAACCUGAUAUUUGAGUUUAAAUAUAUUGUGGUUUUGUACUAACCUCGAUGAUCUGAAAAAGCUGUUGGCAGAAUUUCCAGCUGGAAAGAUACUUAUGUUCUUGGCGUAGCUGGGCUACGUAAGUCAUCAGGGCAGUAUGCUAAAUGGGUGGGGAGUGUUACCAGGGCUCCUCCCGCUGGACCCUACUGCGCAGACACCAAAUGACGUUAAAUUUACAAGAUGGAAGCGCCCCUAAGAGCUGUAUUUUGGCUUCAAGAACGUUGAGUGGGAACAGCUACAGUGUACGCCCACUGGUUUCGACUUUCUAGUGUAUUUUACUCUACUACUUUAAUAUGUGUUUUUGUCUUCUGUGUAUUUGUUUUGGUGCACUUUGAUAAAUCCGUAACUAUUUUUGGGUCCUCUUGACUCUUUAUUAUACCACAAAGUGAAGUUUUUAAUUUAAUGUGUUGAGAUUUAACAUGUAGUGCAAUAUUUAAAAAAAACGGGUUUUUUUUUUUUAACUGCCAUUGCUGUACUGUAAAUAUUAUCAGAUCAACACGUGUGAGAACAUCAGUAUCUGAACUUUUACCCGUGUACAUUUUAACACAAGUAACUUUUACUGUAGUUGUGCUCUGAUAGAUCUGUGACUUCUCACUGUUGGAAAAACUGUAUUUAUUUUAUUCUUAUUUUAUUUCAAUUUUUUUUUUCCUCUCAAUUUUGAACUUUGUUUUUUUUAUUUCCUAAAAUGUGUAUUUCAACAAACACAAUUUGUAUUAAAAUAAACACUAUCAGACUUUCUUUUAACCCUGUGAU
rnacentral:lncRNA from 1 species